rnacentral:rRNA from 1 species
GAUGAACGCUGGCGGCGUGCCUAAUACAUGCAAGUCGAGCGAACGGACGAGAAGCUUGCUUCUCUGAUGUUAGCGGCGGACGGGUGAGUAACACGUGGAUAACCUACCUAUAAGACUGGGAUAACUUCGGGAAACCGGAGCUAAUACCGGAUGAUAUUUUGAACCGCAUGGUUCAAAAGUGAAUGACGGUCUUGCUGUCACUUAUAGAUGGAUCCGCGCUGCAUUAGCUAGUUGGUAAGGUAACGGCUUACCAAGGCAACGAUGCAUAGCCGACCUGAGAGGGUGAUCGGCCACACUGGAACUGAGACACGGUCCAGACUCCUACGGGAGGCAGCAGUAGGGAAUCUUCCGCAAUGGGCGAAAGCCUGACGGAGCAACGCCGCGUGAGUGAUGAAGGUCUUCGGAUCGUAAAACUCUGUUAUUAGGGAAGAACAGAUGUGGAAGUAACUGUGCACAUCUUGACGGUACCUAAUCAGAAAGCCACGGCUAACUACGUG